AGGUACCUAUAUUCUGCACGGGCUUCUGGGCAGGCAGCACUAACACUCAGGAGAAGGUCUGCCUCUGUCUGCGCCUUCCUGGUUCAAUGCAGGCAGAUGAGUGUCACAGAUGUAACUGAGGCACUGAAUAAUCAACAUAUCGGAGCCAAUUCCCAGGACGGCAAGAGGGGGAACCGGCAGAGAUGACUGACCCUGGAGGACAAGAGCAUUCUUCUGACAAGUUUUAGCAUGGACUAUCCUCAGGAAAAUGAGAUCCAGGAAGAGUGACGCCCUCCUCGAACUGAAAGAUACUCAGGUUGAUGGAGUCAGGGACGAAGUGGCUUAUCAACAACACAGGAUGUCUGCAGGGAACAGAACUUAUUCAGACAUGGCCCAGAUUGUCUGCCCGUGGGGACUGAGGGACCUCUGAGGGUUACAUCAGGAAGGAAGGAGAGGCUGUUUCUACAGGUGCCACAGAAAAAUCGAUGCUGAGCCUCGGAUUAUUGGAUCCCAUAGAACCGUGGAGACUUGGCAGUGAAAUUCUUCCAAAGGCAGGCAGAGGUUUUCCUGGUUUGGGAAGUAUAAAUCCCGUGGGAAGUCAACUGGAGGACAUUUUACGCGUCACUCAUCCUAUUAUGAGCCUGCUGCUCCUCCGUCUCUUGACAAGGCCACCAACUAGAAGGGCACAGAAUUGUUCAUAAAACAGCUGAAUGUGAAUGUCUUUGGAUUCCCAUUUAAUGAGGGUGUCUUAAUGAGAUGACUGAAGAGUACAACCGCCAAGGCUGAGAUGAUGCAAAGGCUACGUGUGGGUACAGUUCCCGGUGCCUGUGCACACCAUUCAUUGGCAGCUAAAGGACAGGAGCAGCAAUAAGGCUUCCUGGCUACAUUUUCAUGGUGCCACCAACUGCGAGUUAAGCUGACAAACAUUUUGAGAGCUCGGCCCAUUUCAUUCCCAGCAGGAUGGCAGGAGUUAACUAAAACAGAAUAAACUAAAAAUUGUGCCUUCAUUGCACAUUUGCACUGAUUAUCAGCACUGAAAAUGGCUAAGUUCUGCUUAUCAAGAGCGGGUGACUGAUUGUCCCUGCCAGCUGGCUAAUAUCAUAAUUAGCAAAGUUGCUACCACAUCUGCAAAGUUUAAUCGAAAAAUUUACCAGUGGUAUGAUGGCAUUGUCACCGCGAUCCUGAGGGAAUCAGAGUCGACUUCUGCUUCAACUGGAAUGGCAAGGCUGUAGAGCUGAGAUGAGAAACUGUAAACUUGCUCAGCCAAAGGUUAUGCUUCACAUCACCCACCAGGGAGGAUCAUCUCUCAUGAAAACUUUCAAAUUUGAUUUUGAAAAUUUAUUCAGAAAAAUUUAAGCCACGCUCUUUCCCAACACAGGAAAUAAUAUGCUCCAGAGAAUCCUCUAAUUCACCGAAAAUGGACUUGGAUAACAUUUGGGUUCUCAUACUACCACAGUCCUCUUGAGAAGGACAGCCAGGCUUGGGUGGCAGUGGUGAGGAAGGUUCCUUUCUGUCAAGGGAGCUGAUGCCUUAAAGAAGCUAUCUCCAGAUAAAGGGAGAUCUAAGGAAGGAAGCCAACGAAAGACACCAUGUACCAGAAAGCCAAGCAGGAUUUUGACAUUUAUAACCAUAAUCUCUAUAAACAAGAUGAAUUAUGGCUGGGGAUUCAGUUAGUAAAUCAACGAAAAUAAAUCCUGGUAAGGUAAUGAUACAAUUUUAUCAUUUUUUGUUGAAAUCUAACAGUGUAUAGUAUGCUUUGCUGCAAUCAAAGACCUGCAGUAUUUUGUGUGCUAAACUCCAAUGACCCAUCAUUUAUUUUCUCUUUAUUCCACCUACUUACCUGUGAUAAUAACCAAAUAGCCUCACAUUUCCCCUUUCAAAGUUGUAUCUCAAGAGGAAAGCUCACUGACCCCACACAUUAGCCCUCCAGUAGCUCCAGCUGAGAAGUACUCUCUCCUCCAUUUUUUUCAGUGCAUAAUUCAAAGAUAACCCAAAUAAGAACAGAAAGUUGUGUGUCAUAGUCACUGGCAUCUAUCCGGUGCUUCUGAACCAUGAACCACAUGACCUGAUUAAAGAGGUUGCUGUGAGUGUGUUGUACUCUUCGUGAACUAAAUUCCAUGAUGACAGAAAACAAACCUGAAAACAAGAGUUAUUUCACAACUCUAGAGCUCCACAGAGUCGGCUGCAAUUGGUUGAGUUGAGGUGAAUUUUCAGUGGACCUGGAUCAGUGUAGAAGGGCAGGAACAUUGGCCCAGCACAGCCCCAGGCUGUGCAGCAUUCAAUGUGACUUGGGACUGGCCUUCCUGGCUCUGCCUUGCCGGUGAAACAUGGAUUGGAAGCUUUGAAUGUUGGAAGAAAUAAACAAGUCUUGGUUGGAGUCCCAGUUUCAAUAACCACAUAUUUUCAAACCUAGACAAAUAUUCUGGUCUCAUCUCCUCAUUUGGAUUACUUCAAUCCUCGGAGAGAACGGAAUAGGACUCUGUAUUUCUUUGGAUGUUCAACACAGUGUUUAACUAAUGGGUGCUAUUUGAAAUAUUAUCGUCUAUUAUCAUUGCUAUUCUAAUAAGGAUGAUACUUGCUAUAAAUAUUAUUGAGAAAAAAAACUUGGAAGUGUUCUUGAGCAACAUAAACAGUACAAAAUGACAGAUAUUAAACACCGUUCUUUUUUGCACGUAAAACUAUACAAAUAAAAAUAUAGAAAAGCUUGC
rnacentral:lncRNA from 1 species